CUUAAUCUGUAGUUCCUGAAGGGUCUAUCAAGGGUACUAGGGCUAAGUCUCCUGUGCCUGUGGUCUGGGUGUGAAGGGAAGGGAUGGGAGGAUAUGUCUGUGUGGUCUGUUCCUUCUGGUGGGCUUGCUGAGGGUGUCUGUCUAUGUCUGUGGUCUGGAUGUGAAGGGAAGGGAUGGGAGGAGAUGUCUGUGUGGUCUGUUUCUUAAAGCUAGGGCUAAGUCUCCUAUGUCUGUGGUCUGGAUGUGAAGGGAAGGGAUGGGAGGAUAUGUCUGGUGGGGUCUGUUUCUUGAGGGGUCCAAGGGCUAAGUCUAUGUCUGUGGGCUGGAUGUGAAGGGAAGGGAUGGGAGGAUAUGUCUGGUGGGGUCUGUUUCUUUAGGGGUCCAAGGGCUAAGUCUAUGUCUGUGGGCUGGAUGUGAAGGGAAGGGAUGGGAGGAUAUGUCUGGUGGGGUCUGUUUCUUUAGGGGUCCAAGGGCUAAGUCUAUGUCUGUGGGCUGGAUGUGAAGGGAAGGGAUGGGAGGAUAUGUCUGGUGGGGUCUGUUUCUUUAGGGGUCCAAGGGCUAAGUCUAUGUCUGUGGGCUGGAUGUGAAGGGAAGGGAUGGGAGGAUAUGUCUGUGUAGUCUGUGGUAGGCUUGCUAAGGGUGUCUGCUGGUAGGGUAAGUCAGUCUGUGUCAGGGUGUGCAAUACUUUCAGCCUACGAGUGUGUGGGGGACAAGGUCUGAGUAUGUAAGACCUCGGAAGUGUGGGCUACUCUACGCGCGACUACAGACCCUAAAGCAUGGUCUCUAUGGGGUCUUGACGCAGGCUCGAGCAAGGAGAGGCUUCGCAAGGGAUAGAGCCAUUUUUAGUCUGCACUGGGAAAGACAGACUAGACUACACAUUUUUUUUCCCGGUACAAACUAGAAAAAAAUGGCUGUUUCUCGCCCACUAGACGCCUCGUAUGGGGAAUCAAGACCAAGGGCUAUUUGUUGAGGUCUGGCAGCCACUUGGGGUCUCACGUCUAGCCAAGGACUCUAGGGUAUCCUUGGGUCUAUCUGGCGGUCUAGAAGGAUAUGUCUGUAGGAUAUUACGGUUGACAUUUCUGAUAUGCAGGAUAAUUUUUUGUUUUGUGGUUGUGUUAAAAUGGUUGAUAUAUUGAGUCCUAAGCUUACACACACACACACACAUCACUAAACACCUUUCAAAGACAUAUUUUUACCUUGUUUUCAAAUUCCUUCUAAUUCAUAAACGUAAGUACUUUUAACCCAAAUUAAUGUAAUCUUUUCUAUCUUCUAAUAUAAUCUUCAAUAUCUUUUUUAACUUAAUCUUUCAUAUUCUCUCUCUCUCUCUCUCUCUCUCUCUUGUAAAUAGAUUAAACUUGCACUCUCUCUCUCACAUGGAUAUUUUAACAUUCUCUAACGCCUUUUCGCUCAUUCAAACGCCAAUAUGAAACUGAAUUUCUGCCAAUAUUAAACUGAAUUCCUGACACACACACACACACACACACACACACACACACACACACACACGCAUGCACGUUCGCUUAACAUAUACGUAACACUAAUUCGUGAACGUCGCGAUCGAACGGAACUUUCAACACGUAUUUUUCAACAAGUAACAUAAUUUUUUCUUCUUCGUUUCGUGCGCGGAUUAAAAUUUGCGUCAUCGAUAAUCUUUUUUUUACAUGUUAACAGGGAGAGUAUUUUGGCAUCACUAUGUUCUAAUAUACUCACAAGUUUCAACGCUUAUAAUACUUGCUAAAUACGUAACUCCUUCCGUACAAGUUUCAAGCCUUAUAAUACUUGCUAAUACGUAACUCUUUACGUACGUACAAUUUUGAUACAUAAAACAACCUUAGUGAUACAUGAUUUGAUUUUGUAUGCAGCUAUCACAUCAGUAUUCACACACACACACACACACACACACACACACACACACACACACACACACACAUCAGGUUAGCCAGUCCCAAAAUUACUGCUUGGAGGAUUUCCUUGUGAGGCCGCUGAACAGACUUUUAAUUUAACGAACCCAGCGCAGAAAAAGAAGAAAAAAGCAAAAUGAAAAUGAUUCCUUGGUGUGUAAGUCAUGAUAGAGAGAGAAAGUUAAGCUAUAUGGAAAGAGGAAUGGAAGGAGAGGAAGAAGGAGAGGGAAAUCUAUCACUCAAUCUGUCCCUCAUCAAAGAUACUGAGAGGAUUUUAAGCUAUAUGGAAAGAGGAAUGGAAGGAGAGGAAGAAGGAGAGGCAAUCUAUCACUCAAUCUAUCCCUCACCAAAAAUAUGGAUAGGGAAGGUUAAGCUCUAUGCAAUGAGGAAGAGAGAGAGAAAGGAAGGGAGGGGAAAGUAUAUCAAUCUCUCUGCCUCACAAAAGACCCAGAGAUAAAAUUUUAAGCUGCAAAGAGGUAUGGAAGGGAGGGAAGAGAAGGGAAGGUCUAUCGUGUGUUUCGGGAACUCGUCAAUUCGCAAAAGAUGAAGAGAAGAAACUAAGAAUCACGUAACAGAGAAAUUGGAGAGAGAGAAGAGAGAGAACAGUGCUGGGUGUGAGAGAAAAGACUACUGAGUGCGUAACAUGGGGAGACGGGAUUGAAACAUAUAUUACGAACAAGAAGACAUAUCGUAGAGAGAACAGUGCUGGGUUUGACAUGACGAGGAGCGUAACAUGGGGAGACAGGAUUGAAACAUAUAUUACGAACAAGAAGACAUAUCGUAGAGAGAACAUUGCUGGGUUUGACGUGACAAGAAGAAUACCGAGUGCGUAACAUAGGGAGACGGGAUCAAAACAUGUAUUACGAACAAGAAGACAGAUCGUAGAAGUCAGUAUUCCGGCCAACACAAGGAAACACACUGCAGCUACCCUGUCUAUAGCGCUGGCAACACACACACACACACACACACACACAACUACCAGAAACACAUGAAAAGACCCAGCAAACUCUAGUAAUAUAUAUAAUAGACUCUUUCUAGACUCAAACAGCUGUAUAGAGGUAACAAGAUCUCAUGGUCAAAAUAGCUUUCUUAAUCUACAGCAAAAUAAUUCUAUAUAUAACUCUCUAAGAUCCAACAGACAGGAAGAUACAGCGCAUGUCUCUUAUGGGGGGGGGGGUAAGCUAUGGAUACAGGGACCAUCAGCUAUAUACAAGUGCUUCUGCGAUUGCCGUGGAAGCUUUUUAACAAGUACAUCGAUCGCGACACAUGAUAUCGGAAGCCUGUGUCCGAGACCUCACACACAACCGCAUAUAUAUUCAACCUCAGGACACAUAUGAGGAUGGGGGUGUAUGUAUGAGGUGUAUGAGGGGUGUUGGUACCUCAUAUCCCACUCAUAUUUGACAAGGGAUGAGGGUGUGAGGUGAGGUAUGAGUGUGGAGGGAUGUGAUCGUACGAGGAAGGUUCUGGGUACGCUGAGGACUGGGUUAGGAAGGAAGGUCAUGGGAAAGGUCUUAGAGGGGAAGGUUUUAGAGAAUUAAGGUCUAGGAAGGGAAGGUCUUAGAAAAUUAAGGUCUUGGAAGGAAAGGUUUUAGAGAAGGAAGGUCUUGGAAGGUCUUAGAAGGGAAGGUCUUGAAAGGUCUUAGAAGGGAAAGUCUUAGAGAGGGAAAGAGCUCAGAAAAGGAAGGUCUUGGAAGGUCUAAGAAGGGAAGGUUUUAGAAAAGGAAGGUCUUGGAAGGUCUUAGAAGGGAAGGUUUUGUAGAAGGAAGGUCAUGGAAGGUCUUAGAAGGGAAGGUUUUAGAGAAGGAAGGCCAUGGAAGGUCUUAGAAGGGAAGGUUUUAGAGAAGGAAGGUCUUGGAAGGUCUUAGAAGGGAAGGUUUUAUAAGGGAAAGUCUUGGAAGGUUUUAGAAGGGAAGGUCUUAGAGAGAGAAAGAGCUUACAAAAUGAAGGUCUCAGAAAUAUAAAGUCUCAGAAGGCAAGGUCGUAUAAGGUCUUAAGAGAAGGGAAAGGUCUUAGACGAGGAAGGGUUUACAUACAUAGGGGUUUAAGGUCAAGGGUCAAGGUAGAAGGGAGGGUCUUUGAGAGAAAAAAAAGCUUGAAGGUCUUAGAAAUAUAAAGUCUCAGAAGGCAAGGUCGUAUAAGGUCUUAGAGAAGGGAAAGGUCAACGAGGAAGGGUUUACAUACAUAGGGGUUUAAGGUCAAGGGUUAAGGUACGUUCAAAGGGAUAUAGGCCUCAAGACAGCCUGCAAUAAGGGCUUAGACGGCAUCAAGUCAACCCGCUCUGAGGAUGUGAGGGCAGCCAUCAGACUCGCACACAACCACACCCUGCCCGCUGCCCUCACCAUGUGUGUGUGUGUGUGUGUGUGUGUGUGUGUGUGUGUGUGUAUGUGUGUGUGUGUGUCCUUUAAACUAUCAAUUCUAGCCUUUACGUAACUAUAGACUUGAUUUCUUUGCUUUACGAUAAUUUGGAUAACGAUUUCGCUCUUAUGCUCAUCAUGUUUGUAGGACGUAGUGAGUGUGUGUGUGUGUGUGUGUGUGUGUGUGUGUGUGUGUG